rnacentral:ncRNA from 1 species
GUUUGGUGUGGAAGAGAUUCCACUUAAUAGGGAAUCCGGUGAGGCUUAUUGUGUUUAGUCCAAAUCCGGAACUGCCCCCGCAACUGUAGGCGGUUAGCAACGUUAGAAAAGCCACUGGAAUUAUCUGGGAAGGCCUAGCGAAGCAAAGAUCCGCAAGUCAGGAGACCUGCCAACC